GGUGAUGUAGCUCAGUCGGUCAGAGCGAUGGAUUCAUAACCCAUAGGUCGGUGGUUCAAUUCCACCCAUCACCA
rnacentral:tRNA from 1 species